CAUACUUCAGCAAACCAAAUGCACGCCGCUGAAAAAAAAAAUAAAAUAAAAGAAAACUUGCAGACUUCAUCUCUUUUCUUUGGCCACCGUCUUUGUAACCAAACACCCGACACAAUUCAAUUCUUUUAUCUUCCAUUGUAUACGGAUGAAUGACCAAUACCUUCCUUCUCUUUUCAUUAUCUUCAUCAAAAUCACUCUCGUUUAUAUGUCACAUGAAGAAGAAAUCAAACUCUGACCUAUUCCUUCUGGCAUCAACAUUUCCGCAAAAGCUUUUUUGGCCGCCAUAGUGGCGCACUAAAACAUCGACAAGCAAUUUCGCGUUCUCCACGUCGAUUUGUCCUCUAUCUCUUCAUUUUUAAGUUUCGCCAACAUUCACGAAAACCCGACGGCGGUGGCGUUACGUGUUGUUGUUAUCCAUAAGCAUCGUUUCAAGUCAUUCGUGUCGUCAUUUCAGGUUAUCAGUUGGUGAUCCACGCUCUGAUAGGUGAUACUGAGUGGGAGUAAUUUGUCAUAUUUUAUUGAGUUAUGAAUUAAUUUAGAUUUUUAUAAAUUCGAUUGAUCAAUUGUCUUAUUUUUAUCUUUUAUUCAGAUGUAGAAAUUAGUUGUCUAUAAGUUUAGCACGCGUUUUCAUGUCAGAAAUUUUUAUUUAAUAAACCUCAACUAUAUUCGAUAUUAAA